rnacentral:rRNA from 1 species
UACGAAGGGGGCUAGCGUUGUUCGGAUUUACUGGGCGUAAAGCGCACGUAGGCGGAUCGAUCAGUCAGGGGUGAAAUCCCAGAGCUCAACUCUGGAACUGCCUUUGAUACUGUCGAUCUGGAGUAUGGAAGAGGUAAGUGGAAUUCCGAGUGUAGAGGUGAAAUGCGUAGAGAUGCGGAGGAACACCGAUGGCGAAGGCAGCCCCCUGGGCUAGCACUGACGCUCAGGCACGAAAGCGUGGGGAGCAAACAGG